UAGUAUAAUCACAGAUAAGGAUCAGAACGAAUAAAACAUAUUACAGAAAAAAUUUGUAAAAAGAAUUCCAAUACAAUAGCAUCGAACAGGUUACACCGGUGCAAGAAACCCGACAGUUCAUGCGAUUACUUCAAUACCGUGUGUCAGAACGAAUCAAGGGACAAAGCUACGAGCACGUAUUGUGUGUCAGGUGAAUGGCUACUGCGUUUCAUUUACGUUCCACUUAACGCGCAUGUCCAGAGAUUAGAUUAUACAAGGGUUGAUGCCAAGAGCACGACAACGCCUCUGAAAUAGGAUGAAUUCUUCGUGAUAGAAGAUCUCGUAUUGACAAUAAAGAGGGAUCGCGGACAGGCGCAGCUGAUUGCUCGCAAUCGCGAACAAUCGCCACGACUAUUUGCUUACUGGCACACUUCAUUAGAAUCAUUUUGUUGCAUACGAACGAGAUUCCACGUUAUCAGACUGAUCCAAUAUUCCGUGUAACUAUCGUUCGUGUUCUCUCCUCUUUUAUUAUUUCUCUUUGUUAUAUGCUUUCGUCUUUGCUCCACUUUAUUCACCUUUAUUACCUCGUUACAUUAUACCGUGUGACGCUUUCACGCCAUUGUUGUCGAACUUCCAGACAUCAGAGUAUUUUUGUAACAUGAUGCGCCGCACGGUAAAUAUAUGAUGUCUUACCCAAAUAAUUCUCCGUAUGACGUAACUGUGUCACGUUCAGAACUACAGCACCUCGGGGAACCGUGGCCACCAAGUUAUAACCCCGUUCCAAGGUCGGUUCCGUGAAAAUCCCGUCGAUUAAGUGCCCACCGCAGAAACUCCAGAAACACUACAAAUACAGAUGGAGAUUAAUCAGUAUCGCAUAUUGCAAUUUAUUGAAAUGUUUUUAAUAAAUCAAUUGUAACACAACUAAAUCUUUAGUUAUUAUAUUUUAUAUUCUAAAUAUUUAUUACAUGUACAUGAUAAAUCUUGGAACGCAUUUGAAUAACUCUUUGGAAUUGAAAUAAUAGUAUUUGAAUACGUUAAAGCGAUGAAUAUAAUGGGAAGCGUCACAGUCUAGUUAUAUAAUAAUAUAAAUAACGUAAUGUUAUUUUGUUUUACUUUCAUUAGCUUUCGAGUACAGCACCCUGUAACAAAAUUGAUCAGAAAGCGACAAAGCACAACAUUGUCGGAGGGAAGCAGGAAUGACACGGAAGUAAUAACACGUUUGUACGCUCUCGAUGAGGAAGCAAUCAGAUUGUGCUAACAAAAGUA
rnacentral:misc_RNA from 1 species